rnacentral:rRNA from 1 species
UAGGGAAUCUUCGGCAAUGGGGGGAACCCUGACCGAGCAACGCCGCGUGAGUGAUGAAGGUUUUCGGAUCGUAAAGCUCUGUUGUUAAGGAAGAACGAGUGUGAGAAUGGAAAGUUGAUGCUGUGACGGUACUUAACCAGAAAGGGACGGCUAACUACGUGCCAGCAGCCGCGGUAAUACGUAGGUCCCGAGCGUUGUCCGGAUUUAUUGGGCGUAAAGCGAGCGCAGGCGGUUAGAAAAGUCUGAAGUGAAAGGCAGUGGCUCAACCAUUGUAGGCUUUGGAAACUGUUUAACUUGAGUGCAGAAGGGGAGAGUGGAAUUCCAUGUGUAGCGGUGAAAUGCGUAGAUAUAUGGAGGAACACCGGUGGCGAAAGCGGGUCUCUGGUCUGUAACUGACGCUGAGGAGCGAAAGCGUGGGGAGCGAACAGG